UACGAAGGGGGCUAGCGUUGUUCGGAAUUACUGGGCGUAAAGCGUGCGCAGGCGGUUUUGUAAGCCAGAUGUGAAAUCCCCGGGCUCAACCUGGGAAUGGCAUUUGGGACUGCAAGGCUGGAGUGUGGCAGAGGAGACUGGAAUUCCUGGUGUAGCAGUGAAAUGCGUAGAUAUCAGGAGGAACACCGAUGGCGAAGGCAGGUCUCUGGGCUGACACUGACGCUCAUGCACGAAAGCGUGGGGAGCAAACAGG
rnacentral:rRNA from 1 species